UACGGGAGCAGCAGUGGGGAAUAUUGGACAAUGGGCGCAAGCCUGAUCCAGCCAUGCCGCGUGUGUGAAGAAGGCCUUAGGGUUGUAAAGCACUUUCAGUCGGGAGGAAGGCCUGAUGGUUAAUACCCAUUAGGAUUGACGUUACCGACAGAAGAAGCACCGGCUAACUCCGUGCCAGCGACCGCGGUAAU
rnacentral:rRNA from 1 species